CAAAAAUCACCGACGCUGAACCACAUCUCUCUUUUCAUCCGCCAUCCUCUCCGGCUUCGAUCUCCGUCGCGAUGGUCGUCUUCUACGGCGCCGAUAUGCAGAAGCUUCAUCGUCUUGUCCAUCGAAUUUACAGAUAAGAGAAUCUGUCCUUUACUCUUCAUCUUCUUUUUUGAUUUUUAUUCUAGAUUUGCAUGGAUUAGAUAUGCUAAAUUUUAGUUUAUGGAUCGAUUUUUUUAGUUUGUGAAUCUUCAUCAGAGUUGAAUGAUAUCUCCAUUUUGCAUGUAGUUUCUAUAUAUUAUCUGAAAUUGUUUUAGGAUCGAUGAAUUGAUGAUUUACUCUGAAUGAUGAUGUGUUUGGAUUUGAUGAGUUGUGAAUGGUAAAUGGUUCUUCUUCCAUAAACCCUUUAGUCAAAAACUGCAAACGAGUGAAUUAAUUUUCAUGCUGAUCUAUGUCUUUCUAUCUCUCUUAUAGAUUUUGGUAAACCUUGCAUCCAAGAGAUAGUGAUGAAUUGAUGAUGUUUUAUGAAUGAUGAUGUGUUUGGAUUUGAUGAGUUGUAAAUGGUUGAUGGUUCUUGAAUAGAUCUGCCAUUUAGUGAAAUCUCUUUGAUCUAUAAACGGUUAUGGUUCAAAGGUUGUAAAUCGUUAAUGGUUCAUGAUCUAUGUCUUUCUCUCUCUUUAGCUAAAGUUAAUGGUGGUCGUUAAUGGUUCUUAUUAAUGGUUAAUGGUUCAUGAUCGUUUAUCUCUUUAGCUUAUGUUUUUCUAUCUCGUUAAUGGUUCUUGAAUGGUAGGUUUUGUGUUUGGAAAACUUUACAAUGGUUCAUGGUUCAUGAUCGUGUAUCUAUCUGUCGAUGGUUCAAUGGUUCAUGGUUCAUUAUUUUUGCAGAUUCAUCUUGGUUCAAAGGUCUAUCUCUAGCUGUUCCUCUUCGGUUUGCUCGUAACAAAGGUUUUACAACCUAAAGAAGCUGUUUAGAUAAAAGAUGUGUGUGACAGCAUUUCCACUCGGCGGAGAACAAUUAUUGAAUAGGAGUGGGCACAAAACACCAAACGAGUGUCACAAGUCUUUAUUCAGUAUUGUCUUGUCUUUUCUUUUUUUGUUCACAGACCACAAAGUUUGCAUCUAAUUUUGAGACCACCAAAUGUAAAUCUAUUUGACACCACAUGUCUAAGUUUGUAGACGUUUAUUUAUAGAGAGAUGAUGAGCACUUCUUGUAUCAUAUAUUCUUCUUGUUCUCUAUACUUCUUCUCUCUUUUAAUCGUAAGUUCUGUCUAAACCAAAAAACAUCAAACUUGUUCUCUAUACUUCUUCUCUCUUUCCAUUCUCUUCCUUCUUCCAAUCAAACUUUGGUACCAAUCAAAGUUUACCAAUCAAUUUCUGGAAUGAUAGUAAGCAUUGACUGUAUGCAUUGGGAGUGGAAGAAUUGUCCAACCGCUUGGAAAUGUCAGUAUACAUGUAGUUCAGGAAAACCCACUAUCGUUUUAGAGGCAGUAACUUCAUAUGAUCUGUGAUAUGACAUGCGUUUUUGGGACCCCCAGAUUUUGAACAUGAAGAAGGAAGCAGAAGUUUAACUGUGGAUCUCUCGUAUUCAACGGAUAUGCCCUCUAACAUUGCUGAUAUGAUGGGUACUCGAAAUGAUAUUCGGGAUAAACCACAGCAUGAUCGAUUGCAAGCUGAUUUGCUGGAGCAUAUCUAGCAAAAAUUUGGGACGUACUGAAGCAGAAAAUUAAGUUUUAUUGCAAAAUUUAAGUUUACAUUUCAAAUGUAUGUUUGUGUUGUUUGUGUUGUUUUUGAUUUAAUAAUGUAAUAAUCUAAAUAAUUAUCUUUAUUUUCAUUACAAAAAAAUAAUUUAUUUUUUUGUUACAAAAAACCUAUGUAGAUUUCUCCCAAUAGACCAUUAAAAAAACAUAGUUUCGUUUAAUAGUUUCUUGCCACAAAUCAAUUAAUUAAAUAAUCACAAGAAACCCAUUAAGGGUAAUAGCAAUAAUCAUGCUCUUAGAUAUUUUUUUUUUGCUUUUCCUUAUUACUGUUGUGAUCUUUUUUGCCUUUCCUUAUAACUCUUAGUAUAAAUAACUAUUUUUACUUAAUAGACAUGUCUCUAAAACAUACAAUUUCACACACUUUUUUAUACACACCUUUUCACACACACAUUUUUUUAUACACACCUUUUCACACACACCAUUUCACAUACAGACUUAACAUACUAAACUCAAUUAUUAAAUAAUAUUUAGACCAAACUCAAUUAUAAAUCAACAAACUAAUUCGGUUAGCUACCACAUCCGGUUUGGUGGCACUAGAGGCUCAGAAAGGGAUUUCAAGUUGCUAUUGAGAUAUAGAACUCUUGUUAAAUUUAUUCUUCAGUGCAUGAUGUUGUCGUGCUAGUGUAUCUUGAUGAUCAAUGCCUCUCUUUUGUGAGAACUCUCUCCUCUUUUUUUUUUUUUUUGUGUGUGUGUGUUUUAUGUUAAAGAUAGCAUCUUUAGUCACUAAACCAUUGAGAUGAAUUUUAAGGAUGUUUUUAUUGUAAUUAUCUCUAAUGGUUUCAACAUGUAGGUAAUUGGAAAACUGACUGAAGGGAAGACGACUCAUGUCCAGUUUCGGGACUCUAAGUAUGAGUAACAGAACACAAAGCUCAUCAAGUUUCCGUGGAGAGAGCUUUGAGCUUCUCAUCUGUAAUUUACAAACCUAACCGAGUCUCAACACAAUGCAAUGAUAAAAAUCCAACAGAAAUGUAUAACUUACUCAAAUUCUUUGCAUUCUACGCAACAAAAAAAUAGAAUGAAAUAAAAACUCAAGUCGCUUAACCAUGAAAUGAAAAAAAAAAGGACUUUAAAAAUCCAACAAAUAGAACUUUUCUUUAGACUCAGCAAAAUGCAUGGAUUUGUAUCAAUGUGUUCUUCCAUCAUAGGAUUAACCCAAAAAAUGGUUUUGUUUUUGUUUUUGUUGUGUGUGUGGAUUCAGUGUUUGGCUGCUGCAACUAAGCUUAAAACACACCAUAGCCAGUGGCGGAGGGAGCAUGUUAGGAGAGGGGUCAAAUGACUCAGGUGAAAUACAAAUUUUUUUUAUAUAUACU